UUUGCAGAUCACAUGGCACGAUGCUGGCCAGAGUCAGGGACUAGUAUGCUGGAGCUUGGGCUACCUCUAGGUACCGGAUAUUGCUGGAGGGCCCAUUCUACCGAGCCUGGUUUCUGGGUGAGCAUUUCAUACACAAUACUACGAGCUUACCUGCCCCAGUCGUUCCCAUGCCAUUCCCAGCAUCCAUAAGGACGGCCAGUAGCCUCCCAACUGAGGAUGUUAUUCAGUUUAUGGUGGGGCUAGAUGCCGACUACUUCAGAGGGACGGGAGAUUAUACAACCUUCAUCAGGACUCACCUCGUGCCACCCCUGAUGGGAGGUCGCGCGGGCGAUGCAGCAGGUGCUCCUUUGGCUGGAGAGGCUGCUCAAGAGGCCGAUGCAAGUAUUAGAGAGGCCCCUUCCACUGUGCAGGUUACCAGUUGGCCGGCGAUCCUUACCGUGCUUACUUGUUGGCGACCGGGUGGAACAGCCUAUCAAAUUCUGAUGGACUUACAUGCCCCAGUCAUUCCCAUGCCAUUCCCAGCAUCCAUGAGGAUGGCCAAUAGCCUUCCAAAUGAGGAUAUUAUUCAAUUUAUGGUGGGGCAAGAUGCUGACUACUUUAGAGGGGCAGGAGAUUAUACAACCUUCAUCAGGACUCACUUCAUGCCACCCCUAAUGGGAGGUCGCGCGGGCGAUGCAGUAGGUGCUCCUUUGGCUGGAGAGGCUGCUUAGGAGGCCGAUGCAGGUAUUGGAAAUGCCCCUCCCACUGUGCAGGCUGCCAGUUGGCCGACGAUCCCUACCGUGCUUACUUGUUGGCAACUGGGUGGGACAACCUAUCAAAUUCUGAUAGAGCCACCAGAGCUAGGGCACGGGUAUGUCAGAGCUCCAAGCACACCUUAGGCGCCCCUGGAGUACACGGAGGGCCUUCUCCAGCUGGUUGCUUCUCUCGUUGGCAUGGUAUAGAGGAGAGAGACAUUGCUUGGUCUCUAUGGUAUUCAGAUCCCAUCUGCACUGAGGGCACUAGUAACAGCGGUGGCACCUGCUCCGGCGACAGGGAGAAGAGGUAGACAGGUCCCAGCAUGCGACCGAGAUGAGCGCCGAGGUCGAGACAGAGAUAGGGGUGCUCAGAGCCGGAGCAACGAGUCUGAGCCUGUAUUGAGCAGGGAUGAUACUGAGACCAGCAACUCCGAUAAGGCAGUGAGCUGAUAUUCUGAGUCAUCUGAGAGCGGGGGCGAUGAUGCUGGCUCGAGGUUAGAGAGCAGAGACGAUGUCGAGAUUGGCUUUGAGUUAGGGAGCAGAGAUGAUGACAUUGGAUAGUGGUGCUGAUGGAGACAAUGCCCUUAAGUCCCCUCUGAGGAAGAGAACGAAGAAGGCCUCUUAAGCCUGAUGCGACCGGCGCUGAUUUUUAUACUUUUUUGCUUAGUUUCUUUCAUUUUGUAGUCUAGCACAUAUAUAGCUUCAGAUAGGUUUUA